rnacentral:rRNA from 1 species
GCGACGCCUGCCCAGUGAAUAAUUAAACGGCCGCGGUAUCCUAACCGUGCAAAGGUAGCAUAAUCAUUUGUCUAUUAAUUGUAGACCUGUAUGAAAGGCUAAAUGAGAGUCCAACUGUCUCUUACAACAAAUCAAUAAAACUGAUCUCCUAGUACAAAAGCUAGAAUACUGACAUAAGACCAGAAGACCCUGUGAAGCUUUAAUAAACCCAUUAAACCAAAUAAUGCUUACUUUCGGUUGGGGCGACCUUGGAAUAAAAAAGAACUUCCAACAUAUGACCUCCUCAUAAAACUAAGGCAAACAAGCCAAUAUUAGAUCCAGCACCGCUGAUAAUUGAAAUAAGUUACUCCAGGGAUAACAGCGCUAUCUUCUUUAAGAGCCCAUAUCAAAAAGAAGGUUUACGACCUCGAUGUUGGAUCAGGACAUCCCAGUAAUGCAACCGUUACUAAAGGUUCGUUUGUUCAACGAUUAACAGUCCUACGUGAUCUGAG